rnacentral:rRNA from 1 species
UACGUAGGGCGCAAGCGUUGUCCGGAAUUAUUGGGCGUAAAGAGCUCGUAGGCGGUUCCGUAAGUCGGGUGUGAAAAAUCUGGGCUCAACCCAGUGGAGCACCCGAUACUGCGGUGACUGGAGUCCGGUAGGGGAGUGUGGAAUUCCUGGUGUAGCGGUGAAAUGCGCAGAUAUCAGGAGGAACACCGACGGCGAAGGCAGCACUCUGGGCCGGUACUGACGCUGAGGAGCGAAAGCAUGGGGAGCGAACAGG